rnacentral:tRNA from 1 species
GGGCUCGUGGCUCAGCUAGGUGGAGCGACGGACUCUUAAUCCGUUGGUCAGGGGUUCGAAUCCCCUCGAGCCCG